rnacentral:rRNA from 1 species
UCGAAGGGAGCUAGCGUUGUUCGGAAUCACUGGGCGUAAAGCGUGCGUAGGCGGCUUUGCAAGUCAGGGGUGAAAUCCCAUAGCUUAACUAUGGAACUGCCUUUGAAACUGCAAGCUAGAAUGUGAGAGGGGAUGGCGGAAUUCCUAAUGUAGAGGUGAAAUUCGUAGAUAUUAGGAGGAACACCCGUGGCGAAAGCGGCCAUCUGGAUCACAAUUGACGCUGAUGUACGAAAGCGUGGGUAGCAAACAGGAUUAGAUACCCUGGUAGUCCACGCCAUAAACGAUGAGUGCUAGCCGUCGGGCCCGUAGGGGUUCGGUGGCGCCGCUAACGCAUUAAGCACUCCGCCUGGGGAGUACGGUCGCAAGAUUA